UACGGGGGGGGCAAGCGUUGUUCGGAAUUACUGGGCGUAAAGGGCCUGUAGGCGGCCAACUAAGUCGGAUGUGAAAUCCCCAGGCUCAACCUGGGAACUGCAUCCGAUACUGGAUGGCUUGAAUUCGGGAGAGGGAUGCAGAAUUCCAGGUGUAGUGGUGAAAUGCGUAGAUAUCUGGAGGAAUACCGGUGGCGAAGGCGGCAUCCUGGACCGACAUUGACGCUGAACGGCGAAAGCUAGGGGAGCAAACGGG
rnacentral:rRNA from 1 species